GACGUAAGGGGCAAGCGUUGUCCGGAAUCAUUGGGCGUAAAGAGCUCGUAGGCGGCUCAAUAAGUCGGGUGUGAAACCCCCAGGCUCAACCUGGGGACGCCACCCGAUACUGUUGUGGCUAGAGUCCAGUAGGGGAGUGUGGAAUUCCCGGUGUAGCGGUGAAAUGCGCAGAUAUCGGGAGGAACACCAGCGGCGAAGGCGGCACUCUGGGCUGGUACUGACGCUGAGGAGCGAAAGCGUGGGUAGCAAACAGG
rnacentral:misc_RNA from 1 species